ACUAGAAGCGUAUACUCCUUGAUGAUAAGUUUGAAGUGCGGUUAGGAAUCCCAAGGGAGGCAUGUACCCAUGAGGGUGAUAGUUAUAAUCUAACAGGAUCAAAAGAAUGCUAUGAUUUGUGCAGGACAUCCGGAAAAAGGCUUUUGGUAUUGAUGGAGCUUGUAGAAUGCAGAAUUGUGAUCAGUGGAUAGAGUGAGUUAACCACAAAAAGACAUAUUAGAAGGUAUCCUUUCAUACAUCAGUUUAGACGAUAGAGAUCUUGUGAUAAACAUUAUGGAUCUGAGAUUAGUAUGAGGAUUUAUUGGAAGAGUUUGGACUAUGGCUGCUAUCGCUAGAUCUUGCUUUGUCAAAAACCUUUAAAGUGACCCUUAUGAGAUUCAGACUAAAAACUUUGGAAAAUCCUUUCAAAGUCGUACUGGGAGAUUCUACAAAUUUGUAUAAACUUUGGGUGAAUACCUCCAAGGGUUAUUGGGGUGCCAGCAGCUCACGUGUGUCAUAGCUUGCCUCAUCAGGUGGCAUGGUCAUCUGUCUACUAGAUGUUCCCAAUGAUGUAGUUCCUAAACCACUAGAUGUGCCAAAUAAAGAGACAUCAAUUAAGAACCAGAAUGGAUUGAUUCUUUGUAAUAACGGGUCUGGGAGGCUCCAUUGAACAUCUAUGACGUACAAGAAACUGAACACUUGGUGGUGGUUCCGUUUCAGGGAUACUUGAUGCACAGAGGUUAUGCAUUUUUCUACAUGGGUUUAGAUAUUGAUAGCAUUGACAGAUAGGGAACGAGAAUACACAGGUAUUAGACUUUUAGUGAUGAGUAAAUAUCGUUGCUAAGCUUCAGAGCUUUGUUUAAAGCAAAGCUUGGAAGUUUUUUGUUUGUCGUGUAAAUUGUUUAUGAGUUUUGCUUUAAGAAAGGAAAAGUGAGUAGGGGUGAUUAUUUGGUAACUACUGCAUCUCUGUGUAAUUGACUUAUUGAGUCAAAACAUAAUUUU